UACGUAGGGUGCAAGCGUUGUCCGGAAUUAUUGGGCGUAAAGAGCUCGUAGGCGGUCUGUCGCGUCGGCUGUGAAAACCCGGGGCUCAACCCCGGGCCUGCAGUCGAUACGGGCAGACUAGAGUGCGGUAGGGGAGACUAGAAUUCCUGGUGUAGCGGUGAAAUGCGCAGAUAUCAGGAGGAACACCGGUGGCGAAGGCGGGUCUCUGGGCCGUAACUGACGCUGAGGAGCGAAAGCGUGGGGAGCGAACAGG
rnacentral:rRNA from 1 species